rnacentral:rRNA from 1 species
GACGAACGCUGGCGGCGUGCUUAACGCAUGCAAGUCGAACGGAAAGGCCCUGCUUUUGUGGGGUGCUCGAGUGGCGAACGGGUGAGUAACACGUGAGUAACCUGCCCUUGACUUUGGGAUAACUUCAGGAAACUGGGGCUAAUACCGGAUAGGAGCUCCUGCUGCAUGGUGGGGGUUGGAAAGUUUCGGCGGUUGGGGAUGGACUCGCGGCUUAUCAGCUUGUUGGUGGGGUAGUGGCUUACCAAGGCUUUGACGGGUAGCCGGCCUGAGAGGGUGACCGGCCACAUUGGGACUGAGAUACGGCCCAGACUCCUACGGGAGGCAGCAGUGGGGAAUAUUGCACAAUGGGCGGAAGCCUGAUGCAGCAACGCCGCGUGCGGGAUGUCGGCCUUCGGGUUGUAAACCGCUUUCGCCUGUGACGAAGCGUGAGUGACGGUAAUGGGUAAAGAAGCACCGGCUAACUACGUG